UUUGCAUAUGGACUUCUAAGAGAUAAAUUACCUCAUUAAAACCCACUGAGUGUAC
rnacentral:ribozyme from 1 species